AGCAGCCGCGGUAAUUCCAGCUCCAAUAGCGUAUAUUAAAGUUGUUGCAGUUAAAAAGCUCGUAGUUGAAUUUCGGGACCAAUAUGUCGGUCGUGCCUCGGUACGCACUGGCUUAUUGGUUUCUCCUUUCUGAAGAACCAUGAUGUCAUCCAUUUGGUGUCGUGGGGAAUCAGGACUGUUACUUUGAAAAAAAUUAGAGUGUUUAAAGCAGGCUCACGCUUGAAUACAUUAGCAUGGAAUAAUGAAAUAGGACGUUUGAUUCUAUUUUGUUGGUUUCUAGGAUCGACGUAAUGAUUAAUAGGGAUAGUUGGGGGCAUUAGUAUUCAAUUGUCAGAGGUGAAAUUCUUGGAUUUAUUGAAGACUAACUACUGCGAAAGCAUUUGCCAAGGAUGUUUUCAUUAAUCAAGAACGAAAGUUAGGGGAUCGAAGACGAUCAGAUACCGUCGUAGUCUUAACCAUAAACUACGCCGACUAGGGAUCGGAUGAUGUUAAUUUUUAAUGACUCAUUCGGCGCCUUAAC
rnacentral:rRNA from 1 species